rnacentral:rRNA from 1 species
GACGAACGCUGGCGGCGUGCUUAACACAUGCAAGUCGUACGGUAAGGCCCUUUCGGGGGUACACGAGUGGCGAACGGGUGAGUAACACGUGAGUAACCUGCCCACAACUUUGGGAUAACGCUAGGAAACUGGUGCUAAUACUGGAUAUGUGCUCCUGCUGCAUGGUGGGGGUUGGAAAGCUCCGGCGGUUGUGGAUGGACUCGCGGCCUAUCAGCUUGUUGGUGGGGUAGUGGCCUACCAAGGCGGCGACGGGUAGCCGGCCUGAGAGGGUGACCGGCCACAUUGGGACUGAGAUACGGCCCAGACUCCUACGGGAGGCAGCAGUGGGGAAUAUUGCACAAUGGGCGCAAGCCUGAUGCAGCAACGCCGCGUGCGGGAUGACGGCCUUCGGGUUGUAAACCGCUUUCAGCAGGGACGAAGCUUUUUGAGACGGUACCUGCAGAAGAAGCACCGGCUAACUACGUG